AAGCUUGGUCCUGGCUUUACUAUCAACUUUGAUUAAAUUUAUACAUGCAAGUCUCCGCGACCCUGUGAGAAUGCCCUACCUACACCCCUCGCCCGGAAAAAAGGAGCCGGUAUUAGGCACAACCCUACGUUAGCCCAUGACACCUUGCUCAGCCACACCCCUAAGGGAAACAGCAGUAAUAAACAUUAAGCCAUGAGCGCAAACUUGACUUAGUUAGCAUCAAGAGGGCCGGUCAAACUCGUGCCAGCCACCGCGGUUAUACGAGAGGCCCAAGUUGAUAAUAAUCGGCGUAAAGAGUGGUUAAUAUAUACUAAACUAAAGCCAAACACCUUCAGAGCCGUUAUACGCACACGAAGGCAGGAAGACCCCUAACGAAAGUGGCUUUAACACACAUGAACCCACGAAAGCUAGGAAACAAACUGGGAUUAGAUACCCCACUAUGCCUAGCCCUAAACACAAACUUCCCCGACCACACCCCCGUUCGCCAGGGAACAACGAGCCCCAGCUUAAAACCCAAAGGACUUGGCGGUGCUUUAGACCCCCCUAGAGGAGCCUGUUCUAGAACCGAUACUCCCCGUUCAACCUCACCCUCCCUUGUUUACCCCGCCUAUAUACCGCCGUCGUCAGCUUACCCUGUGAAGGUCUAACAGUAAGCAGAAUUGGCAAAGCCCAAAACGUCAGGUCGAGGUGUAGCGUACGGGAGGGGAAGAAAUGGGCUACAUUUACUGAACCAGUAAACACGGACAUUGCACUGAAAUGAGCAUCUAAAGGAGGAUUUAGCAGUAAGGAGAAAACAGAGUGCUCCCCUGAAAAUGGCCCUGAAGCGCGCACACACCGCCCGUCACUCUCCCC
rnacentral:rRNA from 1 species